rnacentral:rRNA from 1 species
UACAGAGGUCUCAAGCGUUGUUCGGAUUCAUUGGGCGUAAAGGGUGCGUAGGUGGCGCCGUAAGUCGGGUGUGAAAUUUCGGAGCUUAACUCCGAAACUGCAUUCGAUACUGCGGUGCUUGAGGACUGGAGAGGAGACUGGAAUUCAUGGUGUAGCAGUGAAAAUGCGUAGAGAUCAUGAGGAAGACCAGUGGCGAAAGGCGGGGUCUCUGGGCCGAUACUGACGCUGAGGAGCGAAAGCGUGGGGGAGCAAACAGG